rnacentral:rRNA from 1 species
GAUGAACGCUGACAGAAUGCUUAACACAUGCCAGUCUUUGGUGAAGCUGUGCUUGCACAGCCUAGCCAAGGCGGACGGGUGAGUAACGCGUAAGGAACUUGCCCUGCAGUCAGGGAUAACAGACGGAAACGACUGAUAAGACCUGGUAAAGUCAGGCGGACUCAUGUCCAGCCUGAUGAAAAGAGAUGCUGCAGGAGAGCCUUGCGUCCUAUUAGCUUGUUGGUGGGGUAACGGCCCACCAAGGCAAUGAUAGGUAGCCGGCCUGAGAGGGUGGACGGCCACAAGGGGACUGAGAUACGGCCCUUACUCCUACGGGAGGCAGCAGUGGGGAAUAUUGGACAAUGGGGGCAACCCUGAUCCAGCAAUUCUGUGUGCACGAUGAAGGUUUUCGGAUUGUAAAGUGCUUUCAGCAGGGAAGAAAAAAAUGACGGUACCUGCAGAAGAAGCGACGGCUAAAUACGUG